CAAUGACGAUGAUGGUCAAAGCUCAUGGGAAUUGUAGGCCUUUUUGGUUUACAUUUUCAAAGCUU
rfam:Streptococcus lutetiensis 033, complete genome.